rnacentral:misc_RNA from 1 species
AAACAGCAAUAAAGACACAAGAAGAAACGUACACACUUUGGAUUGUUAUAGCUUGAAAGUUUAAACGAUUACAGCAUGUCUACAGAGCUGUACCCUUCAGCAUUCUAUGAUGUUGGGGAUUUUAUUUACAAACAGAGAAAGAAUUUGAUGAAGAAUCAGAUGAACGAGCGACGUGCGACAGUUACUGCAGCCACUCUGCCAGCCACUGUCGUCAAAGCUAGGACCAUGUCGACAAACUCCUUCAUUCCGAUCGGGGGUCAGCCUCCUCUGUCCGUCUCCUCCCAAGGCAGCUGAGUCGUGUCUCGUGAACAACCAGGAGUCCCUUCAUCGCAAGUUGGACAGAAGUAUGAGUGAACCGGGUGCUACUUUAAGUUCUACCGCUGCAAGACAAAAUCAAAAUGUGAACUCGAGUCGUUACAAAACGGAACUAUGCCGUCCAUUUGAGGAAAGUGGCCACUGCAAGUACGGUGACAAAUGUCAGUUUGCCCAUGGUGCUCACGAACUCCGAAACUUGAAUCGCCAUCCCAAGUACAAAACAGAACUCUGUCGUACAUUCCACACCAUCGGAUUCUGUCCGUAUGGACCCAGAUGUCAUUUCAUUCACAACGACGAAGAGAGGAACCAGAGUGUCAACAAGAAUCACCCCGCAAUGAUGACCACAUCCACCACAGUUCAGCAAACUUUCCCGUCUCACAUGGACCAAUUAUCUCAGGUUAAACGCCCAACGAAUUUCAGUUCUAGUUUCAAUGGAUCUCUUGGUUCAAGUUCCGAAUCGCUUUCAUCCAGUGCAAGUGACUCUCCGAGCCUUAGUCCCAUUUUCUGGGGCAACGAUGACAUUUUCAGGGAUUUUUCCUCCUCCUCGCAGUAUUCCAGUAGUGGAUCUAGCAGCCCGGUGUUCGAUUAUUCGGCGGAUCCUGCUUCGUCGUUGGCGGCUAGUUUCCUUACUCCUUUAAAUGUUCAAACCGCUGCCACCGCCAAUCAAAAUCUCGCUUCGGAAAUUAACAUUCUUCAGCAGCAGAUCAACGUUAUAAUGAAUCUUUCAAAUCAAUGCAAUAAUAACCCUAACCCUAAUGUGUUCGAUUCAGCAGCACCCACGUGGGAUCUCGCGGCCCCAGCGCCCCACUCCCCUCCCGACAGCAUUUCGGGGGACAGUCUUGGCAGUGCCUCUAGUGGAAGUUGUGGAAGUAUUAACACUUGUGAGUCUCCAUUGGACGUGAGCAAAUCCCUGCGUCUUCCCAUUUUUAACAAACUUUCUCUUGAUGAUUAAAAACUGUUGGAGACGCUUACAACAACUAAAAUUUGCGCACAAGUUUAACUUCAGAAAUCAAAUUGCCAAAUAGACGUUUGCCGACUCGAAUGCUUGACUUUAAGUAAUUGCAGAAUUUUUAUUUAUCGUCUUUUUUUCUGUUGAGAGAAUCAAGGGAAGAAACCUUGUUAAACAUUUUUCUGUUGAAUGGUUUUUGUUUGACCUACGAUAGACGAAUCUUGUAUUUUACCAAGAUUUGUACGGAAAGUUUGUGUAUGUUGGUUUAACUUUUUGACAAAGUAGUUAAAAUCGUUGUAAACUAUGCAAAUUCUUGUUUGUCCGAAUGUAAUAUUGAUAAACUCGAUCAAUCUCUGAUCUAUUGAUUUAUGUAAAUGGGAUCCAAACAUUUUUCAUGUACUCGACAUAUUUUAGACAAAAUUCAUUACAAACUUUAUUUUGUGAUUUGACACAGGAAUCCAUUGUGACGUUUGCAUGUCUAAUUUAUUUUCUGCACACUUCUUCAAUUGUGCUACAUACUACGGCAUUUUGCAUUUAUCGAAUCAUCACUCUCCGUUUAACUUAAGGAAAGUUUUAUAUCUACAUUAUAUAUAUAUUGUUUUUUAUUUCGUUAAAUUAUGAAAAGAAAGUCGCCAAAGAUAUGGUUAUAUGUAACUUUUCAUUCAAAUGUUCAUAAAAUCCAUAUUGUGUAUAUUUCAUUGUGUAUUUAUGGCCCAAGCAGGUCUAUUUUUCAUUUGAAUGCCAAUUAAAUUAAUGAAAGCUUU